UGAUGAUCUCUCUGAUAGCACGUCCAACCGCCACUCUGAUUGGCCGAUGCGCACGAUUUGAAUUUUUUCUUUCUGCUGUGGCUGCAGCAACAGCUCUGACCAGCGUUUAGCACUGUCAUCAUCAAGAUCAAGACUGUGGAAAUCAAACGUCAUCUCACCCAGUUAACAGAUCUCAGGGUAGGGAAACGACUUCACACACUGUUAAUCAAACCUUGAAAGGCCUUGUGCAACCUUUCUCUAGCCUGGCAAACUGUUUGGCAGGAUCUUGGCGCAAGGAAAUGUCCAGCUUGUCCGGCCAGGUGGAGAGUGCCAAUGGAUUAUGGGGAAGGGAAACGUUGUCACCAAACUGGUGCAGUUGCGGUGACGGAGAGCAAAUGAUGAACAUUGUCUUAGGAUGAUGGUGAAGUAGGCUAUACUCUACUGCCCAAACACUCCAAGACCCAGAGGACUUGUCAUCAGGUUCACAUGGUGGCAGACAAGUUCAAAGACCUGCAUCUUUUCCCAGUCAUUCAUGAGUCCUUAAAGAAGAACCCUCUGACCAGCAUGACAGAUCAGCAGGAGGCUGAACGGGCAUUGGGAAAAUGGUUCACUGGGGCAAGGGACUGGGGAGGGCUGAGAGCAGCCAGAGUGGCAAAGUGAUUGGCUUACUGUAGGAUCACUUCAGUUAUUGUUGUUGUAACCAGUUUGUCUUGUGUUGGAAUUUAUUAAAUGAUGAGUAUUAAAUUUGGAAAAAGAAAAUUAGGCUGCUCUUUCUGCUGUGGAAGUGACUAAUGUUAUUUUCUGGUGAAUUACAGUACAAAUGGGUCUAGUUUUGGAUUGGUAUUUACAGCAUAUGUUGUAAACAUUGGGAUUUUAAUUAUAUUUUAUUGUAAAUGUCGGUGCCAUAUGAAAUUGAAAACAGGACCAAGAUCUUUUAUGCAUUGCCCAGCUUGUCCCUACUUAAUAAUUAUCAUGUGGUACC